rnacentral:rRNA from 1 species
GAGAGUGGGUAGUCGCACGAGCGCACCCUACUUUUAGUCGCCAUCAUUUAGUUGGGCACUCUGAAAGAACUGCCAGUGAUAAGCUGGAGGAAGGUGGGGAUGACGUCAAGUCCUCAUGGCCCUUAUGUGUUGGGCUACACACGUGCUACAAUGGCAUUUACAAUAGGAAGCAAGAUGGCGACAUUAAGCAAAUCCUAAAAAAAUGCCUCAGUUCGGAUUGUACUCUGCAACUCGAGUACAUGAAGCUGGAAUUACUAGUAAUCGCGGAUCAGCGCGCCGCGGUGAAUACGUUCCCGGGUCUUGUACACACCGCCCGUCACACCAUGGGAGUUGGUUCUACCUUAAGGCAAGGUUUAAUACCCUUGACCACGGUAUAGUCGGCGACUGGGGUGAAGUCGUAACAAGGUAGCCGUAGGGGAACCUGCGGCUGGAUUACCUCCUUUCU